rnacentral:lncRNA from 1 species
GAUCUUGGAGGAGGUGAUGAGGCUAGAGUUAUUGCUUCUCUUGCAUCUCUUUUCCUUCUACUUUCUUUACUUCUGGUUGCUAUUUGGUAUUGGAGAAGAUACAUCUUCGGAGUCAUCCUUUUUCAAAGUUGACCACACUAAAGAUUAGAGAAGGAGGUGGGGAGAAGAUUCUGGUUUGAGAUUUGAGAUGUGAGAGGAGAUGGUGAGAUAGAUUUGGAGAUGGGAGCUAAAAAUUUUGAGAGGAACGAAAUCAUGAAAAGGGAAAGAAGAUGAACAAGAGGAGCUAGAAUGUUGGUUU